rnacentral:misc_RNA from 1 species
AACGCACGAGACCUGCGGACCUGCGGAAGGAUCAUUAAUGAGAAACUGCCCCUCGCGGGUAGAUCUCCCACCCUUUGUAAACUUACCUUUGUUGCUUUGGCAGGCCCGUCUCCGGGCCGCCGGCUUCGGCUGGCCAGUGCCUGCCAGAGGAUUCUAAAACUCUGUCUGUCAGUGUUGUCUGAGUCUAUAUACAAUCGUUAAAACUUUUAACAACGGAUCUCUAGAUCGGAAGAGCACACG